UUACACUGUCUCCCACUUCUAAUCAGUGAAACUGAUCCCCCCGUGAAGAAGCGGGGAUAAACUUAUAAGACGAGAAGACCCCAUGGAGCUUUAAACUCAGUACCAAUCAUCUAUAACUACACCACAAUAACCCGGUGACCCUGGCUACUAGUUUUAGGUUGGGGUGACCACGGAGCAUAAUAAAACCUCCAUGUUGAAAAACUUCCUCUAAUCCAAGAGUGACAACUCUAAGAAUCAAAAACUGACAUACAUUGACCCAAAUAUUUUGAUCAACGAACCAAGUUACCCUGGGGAUAACAGCGCAAUCCAUUUCAAGAGCUCCUAUCGACAAAUGGGUUUACGACCUCGAUGUUGGAUCAGGGUAUCCCAGUGGUGCAGCCACUACUAAAGGUUCGUUUGUUCAACGAUUAAAACCCUACGUGAUCUGAGUUCAGAC
rnacentral:rRNA from 1 species